rnacentral:rRNA from 1 species
AUUGAACGCUGGCGGCAUGCCUUACACAUGCAAGUCGAACGGUAACGGGCCUUCGGGUGCCGACGAGUGGCGAACGGGUGAGUAAUACAUCGGAACGUGCCCGAUCGUGGGGGAUAACGAGGCGAAAGCUUUGCUAAUACCGCAUACGAUCUACGGAUGAAAGCAGGGGACCGCAAGGCCUUGCGCGGACGGAGCGGCCGAUGGCAGAUUAGGUAGUUGGUGGGAUAAAAGCUUACCAAGCCGACGAUCUGUAGCUGGUCUGAGAGGAUGAUCAGCCACACUGGGACUGAGACACGGCCCAGACUCCUACGGGAGGUAGCAGUGGGGAAUUUUGGACAAUGGGCGCAAGCCUGAUCCAGCCAUGCCGCGUGCAGGAUGAAGGCCUUCGGGUUGUAAACUGCUUUUGUACGGAACGAAAAGCCUUCUUUUAAUACAGGAGGGUCAUGACGGUACCGUAAGAAUAAGCACCGGCUAACUACGUG